GCCUUCGUGGUGUAGUGGUCAGCACGCUCGACGCGUAACCGAGAGAUCCGAGGUUCGAUUCCCGGCGAAGGCG
rfam:Stegodyphus mimosarum contig11284, whole genome shotgun sequence.